rnacentral:rRNA from 2 species
UGGGGAAUUUUGGACAAUGGGGGAAACCCUGAUCCAGCAAUGCCGCGUGUGCGAAGAAGGCCUUCGGGUUGUAAAGCACUUUUGUCAGGGAAGAAAUCCUUUGGGCUAAUACCCUAGGGGGAUGACGGUACCUGAAGAAUAAGCACCGGCUAACUACGUGCCAGCAGCCGCGGUAAUACGUAGGGUGCAAGCGUUAAUCGGAAUUACUGGGCGUAAAGCGUGCGCAGGCGGUUGUGUAAGACAGGUGUGAAAUCCCCGGGCUUAACCUGGGAAUUGCAUUUGUGACUGCACGACUAGAGUGUGUCAGAGGGGGGUGGAAUUCCACGUGUAGCAGUGAAAUGCGUAGAUAUGUGGAGGAACACCAAUGGCGAAGGCAGCCCCCUGGGAUAACACUGACGCUCAUGCACGAAAGCGUGGGGAGCAAACA